rnacentral:rRNA from 1 species
UACGGCGGGGGCUAGCGUUGUUCGGAAUUACUGGGCGUAAAGCGCACGUAGGCGGCUAUUCAAGUCAGAGGUGAAAGCCCGGGGCUCAACCCCGGAACUGCCUUUGAAACUAGAUAGCUAGAAUCACGGAGAGGUAAGUGGAAUUCCGAGUGUAGAGGUGAAAUUCGGAGAGAUGCGGAAGAACACCAGUGGCGAAGGCGGCUUACUGGACGUGAAUUGACGCUGAGGUGCGAAAGCGUGGGGAGCAAACAGG